rnacentral:rRNA from 1 species
GAUGAACGCUAGCGGCAGGCUUAACACAUGCAAGUCGAGGGGCAGCACGUCUUCGGAUGGUGGCGACCGGCGCACGGGUGAGUAACGCGUAUGCAAUCUACCUUUUACAGGGGCAUAGCCCGGGGAAACCCGGAUUAAUAUCCUAUAGUACCAUUAUAUAGCAUUAUAUUAUGGUUAAAGUUUCGGCGGUAAAAGAUGAGCAUGCGUCCUAUUAGCUUGAUGGUAAGGUAACGGCUUACCAUGGCUAUGAUAGGUAGGGGUCCUGAGAGGGAGACCCCCCACACUGGUACUGAGACACGGACCAGACUCCUACGGGAGGCAGCAGUGAGGAAUAUUGGACAAUGGGCGCAAGCCUGAUCCAGCCAUGCCGCGUGCAGGAAGACGGCCCUAUGGGUUGUAAACUGCUUUUAUACGGGAAGAAACACCCCUUCGUGAAGGGACUUGACGGUACCGUAUGAAUAAGGAUCGGCUAACUCCGUGCCAGCAGCCGCGGUAAUACGGAGGAUACC